AAUACGGAGAGUUUGAUCCUGGCUCAGGAUGAACGUUGGCGGCGUGCCUAACACAUGCAAGUCGAACGGUAUGCGCCC
rnacentral:rRNA from 1 species